AAAAAUCUUAAUAUAAUUUUUGAAAAUAGAAAAAUCAAAAUACUAAAGAUAACUAAUUAUAAGAAUAAUUCGUAAUUAAUCGGCGCCAAGUUGGAGGGCCCGUUUGCCUCCGCGAGCUAUGGACGAGGGCAAUGGCGACCGACGCGAGGAGGGCGAGCCGACGGAGUACUCCCCCCUCCACGCCACCAUCGCCUUCGCCCUCGCCUUAGGCGGCCUCCACUUAUCCUCGCCUUGGUCUUAGCCGCGGGUUUAUGGGUUUCUGCUGUUCGUCACGUUGAUUCCCGUCGUUGAUAAAGAGUAAAUUGGGGUUGAGAGUAUCAAGGUAUAUUGGCAAGUAUGCAGCUGGCUACUUCCCCAUCACUCUUCAUGUGGAGGACAUAAAGGCCUUCGAUCCGGACCAAGCAUUCUGU